GAGUUUGAUCUUGGCUCAGAACGAACGCUGGCGGCAUGCCUAACACAUGCAAGUCGAACGCCUGCAGCAAUGCAGGAGUGGCAGACGGGUGAGUAACACGUGGGAAUCUACCCAGUAGCUCGGAAUAACCGCGGGAAACUGCGGCUAAUACCGGAUAAGCCCCGAGGGGGAAAGGAGCAAUCCACUAUUGGAGGAGCCCGCGUCUGAUUAGCUAGUUGGUGGGGUAACGGCCUACCAAGGCGAUGAUCAGUAGCUGGUUUGAGAGAACGACCAGCCGCACUGGGACUGAGACACGGCCCAGACUCCUACGGGAGGCAGCAGUGGGGAAUAUUGGACAAUGGGGGAAACCCUGAUCCAGCAAUGCCGCGUGGGUGAUGAAGGCCUUC
rnacentral:rRNA from 1 species